UACGGAGGGUGCAAGCGUUGUUCGGAAUCAUUGGGCGUAAAGCGCGUGUAGGCGGCUUGGCAAGUCGGUUGUGAAAUCCCGGGGCCCAACCCCGGAACUGCAUUCGAAACUGCCUCGCUAGAGUCCCGGAGAGGAAGGCGGAAUUCCCGGUGUAGAGGUGAAAUUCGUAGAUAUCGGGAGGAACACCAGCGGCGAAGGCGGCCUUCUGGACGGUGACUGACGCUGAGACGCGAAAGCGUGGGGAGCAAACAGGAUUAGAAACCCCAGUAGUCC
rnacentral:rRNA from 1 species